UUCAGCUAAACUUCCCCAUUUUCAAAUGAGCUGCGAACUCGUUUCACUUUCUCUUUUUCCGGCGAAAUCGAUGUAAGUUCCCUUCUUCCUUUCUUUCUCUUCCUUCAGCUAGAUUUUUUCUUUCAACUCAGUCAGCUAGAUUUCCUCUAGAGAUAAAAGCCCUAGUCCAUUUUUUGAAUGAUUUGAUUUUGCUUGUUAAUGAAGAAGUGCAUUGGCAAAAUUAUGGAAUUUAACUUAAUUGUUAAUUUCAUGACUGCUAAUUUCAUCAAUUAUCCGAUCUCAUUUCUCGAUAUCGACUACAUUUCUUUGUUCUUUCAAUGAAGAAUCGUCGAGAUAAUUUUGGAGAGAAUUUACUCAGUUCUCUUUAACUCACAAGUAUGAGAAGUGAUUUUUUUUUUUUUUUUGUAAAUCUAAAACUCUGAGCGUACAGCAAUUUCUAUUUUCUUCAGCCUUGGGAUUCUGCUGUUUCCAUUUUGUUUAGUUUUAACUAAGAGUAGUUCUGUUCUGCUUCUAGGCGGUCAGAAUUGCAACUUCUGUAACCAUUUUAGCCAUAUUUUUGCUCUACAUUGAUCCGUAGGUUGUUCCGAUGAAAGUGUUAAUUCUUUUAUGAAACAGUGAUUCAUAAUUUGAUGUUUUCUAUUUUUAUUUUUACAGGUAAAUUCAGAGCUAAACUCUGAAUGUUUCUACAAUAUCUGAUAUAAUUGUGUUUGUUUGUUUGUUUGUUUCAUUGGCAUAUUAACUAGUUUGCAUAACUUAUCAAAUAUAUAUCAUUUUGCUAGUUGGAUGUGUGGCAGUGUUUUCAAAAAAUUUAAAUAGCUACCAAGUGGCAGAGGAGACAUAACACUUGUCUCAAGCAAUUGUCAUUAUUGAGCUUAUAAAUAGGCCUUUAAUUUCUCCAGAUGAAACACCAACAAAAUCUAAUCAUUAGCUUAAAUCACUAUUUGCUCUCUUUCUUUUAUUCCAAUGUUCUUCUUAUGUCUCUAUUCUUUUUCUAUCUUCAACGGAUUCUUUAUUUGUUUCUUUUAACAACUUGGUAUAUUAAUUUUGUUGAUUCCUGUAUCUUCUAAAUAAAUCUAGAUGUGCUUGUUUAAUCCUGGGGAAACAUUUCACAUUGCUGAAAUUGUUUCUUAGGACAGUGCCCAACACGAUUCAAGCCAAUUCGUGUAGCUGCUUACAAAUAAUAUUAUUGCAGUAUUAUUAUCGUUUUUUUUAUGUCAUUUCCCUAUAGGAUGUCAUUGAUAUAAUUUGGAGGAAAGGAUCUCCCAUGACUAUUUACAAUUUGAAUAGAAGAAAAUGAUCCUCGUCUCUUUUGGGUGGGCGGGAAUAGCUCUUCUAGCAUCAGCAUGGAUUGAGCGGAGAUCGGGAGUAGUCGUCAUCUUUUUCUAUAGUAGUCAUCCAGCAAGAAAGGGAAAGACCACUUAGCCCAGUGGAAUAGGAAAGAGAGGGUCGAGCACAACUUUCGUGUCACCAGAAAUCUUUUUUCGUUUAUUGCGAGACCGAAUGAAAAUGGCUUCUCUUUGAUCAUUCAUGUGUUUCAGUGCUUGCCCUUUCUUUUAAGAAUAAAGAUCUUCAUCGAUCUCCACUGUAAAAAAUCAUUCUAUCCAUGAUAUGUGCGCUUUGGUUGUACUAGCAUGAUUUUCAGGUAU
rnacentral:lncRNA from 1 species